rnacentral:tRNA from 1 species
GUCUCUGUAGCAUAAUCAAUACAGCAUUUGUCUGCUGACUGAAAGGUUGGUGGUUUGAGCCCACCCAGGGACA